rnacentral:rRNA from 1 species
CGGAACGUGCCCAGUAGCGGGGGAUAACUACGCGAAAGCGUAGCUAAUACCGCAUACGCCCUUCGGGGGAAAGCAGGGGAUCGCGAGACCUUGCACUAUUGGAGCGGCCGAUAUCGGAUUAGCUAGUUGGUGAGGUAAUGGCUCACCAAGGCCGCGAUCCGUAGCUGGUUUGAGAGGACGACCAGCCACACUGGGACUGAGACACGGCCCAGACUCCUACGGGAGGCAGCAGUGGGGAAUUUUGGACAAUGGGGGAAACCCUGAUCCAGCCAUCCCGCGUGUGCGAUGAAGGCCUUCGGGUUGUAAAGCACUUUUGGCAGGAAAGAAACGGCGCGUGCUAAUACCAUGCGCAACUGACGGUACCUGCAGAAUAAGCACCGGCUAACUACGUGCCAGCAGCCGCGGUAAUACGUAGGGUGCAAGCGUUAAUCGGAAUUACUGGGCGUAAAGCGUGCGCAGGCGGUUCGGAAAGAAAGAUGUGAAAUCCCAGGGCUCAACCUUGGAACUGCAUUUUUAACUACCGGACUAGAGUAUGUCAGAGGGAGGUGGAAUUCCACGU